GAAGUCAGAGUGGAAACACUGGUGGACUGCAUACGAGUGAGAAUGCCGGAAUAAGUAGCGAGAAUUAUGUGAGAAUCAUAAUGGCCGAAAAUCUAAGGUUUCUUGGGGAAGGUUCGUCCGCCCAAGGUUAGUCGGGAGCUAAGCUCAGGCCGAAAGGCGUAGGCGAUGCACAUACGGUUGAUAUUCCGUAACCACCGAAAGCGUUAAACCAGAGGACACAUUCAUUAAUUCUAACCCGGGCGAUGGUUGCCCCGGGCGUAAGGGACCGAAAUAAUAGUAGGGAAGUAGAAGGCGUGAGUGGCGAGAAAAGUCUGGCGUAUUGCUGAGGUGCCCGUACCGCAAACCGACACAGGUAGAUGGGAUGAGUAUUCUAAGGCCAACGGGAGAAUGGUUGUUAAGGAACUCGGCAAAUUGGCCCCGUAACUUCGGAAUAAGGGGCGCCUCUGAGAAGAGGCCGCAGUGAAAAGGCCCAAGCGACUGUUUAGCAAAAACACAGCUCUCUGCUAAAUCGAAAGAUGACGUAUAGGGGGUGACGCCUGCCCGGUGCUGGAAGGUUACGAGGAGGGCUUAGGAGCAAUCCGAAGGUCUGAAUUUAAGCCCCAGUAAACGGCGGCCGUAACUAUAACGGUCCUAAGGUAGCGAAAUUCCUUGUCAGGUAAGUUCUGACCCGCACGAAUGGCGUAACGAUUUGGGCACUGUCUCAACAGCCAACCCGGCGAAAUUGUAGUACCGGUGAAGAUGCCGGUUUCCCGCAACUAGACGGAAAGACCCCAUGGAGCUUCACUGUAGCUUGAUACUGGACUUCGAUAUUCCAUGUACAGGAUAGGUGGGAGGCUUGGAAGCAUGUGCGCCAGCAUAUGUGGAGCCGCCCUUGGGAUACCACUCUUGGGAUAUUGGAGUUCUAACCUGCGGCCAUGAAUCUGGUCGGGGGACACUGUCAGGUGGGCAGUUUGACUGGGGCGGUCGCCUCCCAAAAGGUAACGGAGGCGCUCAAAGGUUCGUUCAGCACGGAUGGAAACCGUGCAUUGAGUGUAAACGCAUAAACGAACUUGACUGCGAGACUGACGGGUCGAGCAGGAACGAAAGUUGGAGUUAGUGAUCCGGCGGUAUGUGAAUGGAAAUGCCGUCGCUCAACGGAUAAAAGCUACCCUGGGGAUAACAGGCUGAUCUCCCCCAAGAGUCCACAUCGACGGGGAGGUUUGGCACCUCGAUGUCGGCUCAUCGCAUCCUGGGGCUGAAUUCGGUCCCAAGGGUUUGGCUGUUCGCCAAUUAAAGCGGUACGCGAGCUGGGUUCAGAACGUCGUGAGACAGUUCGGUCCCUAUCUGUUGCGGGCGUAGGAAAUUUGAACGGAGCUGUCCUUAGUACGAGAGGACCGGGAUGGACAAACCUCUGGUGCACCAGUUGUUCUGCCAAGGGCAUAGCUGGGUAGCUAAGUUUGGACGAGAUAAACGCUGAAGGCAUCUAAGCGUGAAACUCCCCGUAAGAUAAGAUUUCCCAUUCUUCGGAAGUAAGACCCCACGUAGACUAUGUGGUUGAUAGGUCAGGAGUGGAAGUACAGCAAUGUAUGCAGCGGACUGAUACUAAUAGGUCGAGGGCUUGACCUA
rnacentral:rRNA from 1 species